AGAGUUUGAUCCUGGCUCAGGAUUAACGCUAGCGGCAGGCCUAAUACAUGCAAGUCGAGGGGCAGCGCGGGUAGCAAUACCUGGCGGCGACCGGCGUACGGGUGCGUAACACGUAUGCAACCUACCUUUGACUGGGGCAUAGCCCCGAGAAAUCGGGAUUAAUACCCCAUAACAUUGCGAGAAGGCAUCUUUUUGCAAUUAAAGCUCCGGCGGUCUUAGAUGGGCAUGCGCGACAUUAGCUAGUUGGUGAGGUAACGGCCCACCAAGGCUACGAUGUCUAGGGGUUCUGAGAGGAUUAUCCCCCACACUGGUACUGAGACACGGACCAGACUCCUACGGGAGGCAGCAGUGAGGAAUAUUGGUCAAUGGGCGCAAGCCUGAACCAGCCAUCCCGCGUGCAGGAAGACGGCCCUAUGGGUUGUAAACUGCUUUUCCAGGGGGAGAAACUUGCGCACGUGUUGCGCAAUUGACGGUACCCUGGGAAUAAGCAUCGGCUAACUCCGUGCCAGCAGCCGCGGUAAUACGGAGGAUGCAAGCGUUAUCCGGAUUUAUUGGGUUUAAAGGGUGCGCAGGCGGAACGGUAAGUCAGUGGUGAAAGCCUACAGCUCAACUGUAGAAUUGCCAUUGAUACUGUCGUUCUUGAGUAUAGUUGGAGUGUGCGGAAUGUAUCAUGUAGCGGUGAAAUGCAUAGAUAUGAUACAGAACACCAAUCGCGAAGGCAGCUCACUAAGCUAUAACUGACGCUCAGGCACGAAAGCGUGGGGAUCAAACAGGAUUAGAGACCCUGGUAGUCCACGCCCUAAACUAUGAUCACUCGAUGUUGGCGAUAUACAGUCAGCGUCUGAGCGAAAGCAUUAAGUGAUCCACCUGGGGAGUACGAUCGCAAGGUUGAAAC
rnacentral:rRNA from 1 species